GCCGAGGAGAGCCGCUCGCCUCCACGCUCCCCCUUCCCGCCCGCGGCCGCGACCGGCAGGAACCCGGCCAGAGGGAGGCCCCCGCUUGCGAGCGCUUCGCUGAGCGCGCCCUGACGCCCGGUGUGCUAUAUAUCACCUACUCUGGACAGCCCUGUUCUUUCUCACAAAGUGUGUAAAUGAAGGCUCAGAGAGAAAGAGCUUCAUAGAAAGGAAACUGAGGCAGUGUUGGGGCAAGAAUCCUCUUUGUGGUGAUUUCUUAGCACAGCAGAGCCAUUGAAACGUUUGCAAAAUAGCAAAGGGUUCCAGAUGGGAGGGGCCGCUGUUCAAAAUCCAGACCACCCAACGGGCACAUCAG
rnacentral:lncRNA from 1 species